rfam:Photobacterium halotolerans strain MELD1 scaffold2, whole genome shotgun sequence.
CAUUGGUCCUCCCGCAACACUAACUCGUGAACCCGGUCAGGCCUGGAAGGGAGCAGCCGCAGCGAGCGACGUGUGUGCCGGGAUGUGGCUGGUGGGG